CGGUUUGGGAGCCGGCGGGGCGGGGGGGGGUGGGGCGCUCUCCUCCGCCCCCCCCACCGCUCCCCUCCCCGCCCCCCCUCGCCCCGCCGCGGCGUCUGACGUCCCGCGCGUCGGCUUGCGCGGAGCAGCGAGGGGAGCCGGGCCGGCCGCAGGCGGGGUGCGAAGAGAAAAAAUGACACUCCAGUGGGUGGCAGUUGCAACCUUUCUUUAUGCUGAAAUAGGACUUAUUUUAAUCUUCUGUCUGCCUUUUAUUCCUCCUCAGAGAUGGCAGAAGAUUUUUUCAUUUACUGUCUGGGGUAAAAUUGCAACUUUCUGGAACAAGGCUUUCCUUACUAUAAUAGUCCUAUUGAUUGUUCUAUUUUUAGAUGCUGUGAGAGAAGUAAGGAAGUAUUCCUCUACACCUGCCAUUGAAAAAGGCUUAACCAGCAGACCUGGAGCCUAUGAACAUGCACAAAUGAAACUUUUUAGGUCUCAAAGAAAUCUUUACAUUUCUGGAUUUUCAUUAUUUUUUUGGCUAGUGUUGAGACGUCUGGUUAUCCUUAUUACGCAGCUGGCUAAAGAACUGUCAAACAAAGGAGUACUUAAAACUCAAGCAGAAAAUACUAAUGAGGCUGCCAAAAAAUUCAUGGAAGAGAAUGAAAGACUAAAACGGCUCUUGAAAAACUAUGCCAAGGAAGAGGAACACAUUUUGGAAGCAGAAAAUAAAAAAUUAGUAGAAGACCAGGAAAAACUGAAAACUGAAUUAAAGAAGACUUCAGAUGCCCUCUCUAAGGCACAGAAUGAUGUGAUGACAAUGAGAAUGCAAUCAGAGCAUCUUUCAAAAGAAUAUGACCGACUCCUGAAAGAACACGCAGAACUUCAGAAUUGUUCAGGGAAAGACAGUAAGAAGGGCCUGUGAACUUUGAAAGAAGAUUGUGUGACGCCAUGUGAAGAUCAGUUUGUUAUCAUGUUAGCCUCUAGAACAUUUAAAAUUCAGUUCGGAAAAAGGAUAGCCAAAGUGAUUUCUAACACUGCAGUCCUGAAAGACAGCCCCCCAGAAAUUAUCCAUGCCCUAAUCCCUGGAAGCUGGAAAUACUCUCUUCCAUGGCAUAAACUCCUGUGUGACGAGCCUCCCUCACCCUGGCACACAACAGCUUUCAUCUUCAAAGAGGGGAAAGCAGAACGUCUGUCUAAUCAGUGGAAAGCAGAGGAGUUAAGAAAACGACGUAUACAUGCUGUAUUGCAGAACUUGUUCAACCCGGCACGACAGGAGCCAGUCUCUUACUUCCAAGCAGAAGACCAAACAAGCCUUUCUCCAGAUGGGCAUGUUAGACGCAAGAUAAAGACCUAACGAUGUCGACAAGGGUGACGACGUCAGGGCUUCCCCACCCAGCAGCGGCCAGCUCACUGGACAGGAUAUCACACCCACUCGGAGCCCCCAGGCAGCUCUGGAGGCCCCAACUUUGAAGUAAGAGCAGGCACUCAAGCAUGAGGAGAAUCUGAGAAAAGCCCCUAAUAUGAAUACAUAGAGACCAAAAAACGAACAGGAAAAAAAUGUGGUGAAAAUAGAAAACGUACAGGAAGAAGAAAAGUACAUUUAAAAAAAAAUAACAACUAAACCCUUAAUGUCUUCAGAGAAGACAUGGUUCUUAUUUCAUUACCCUUAUGAAAUCAGAAUUGGAAGCUAUAAGACAUUUCUUGAAGAAAGUAAAACAGAGUCCUUAGGAAAAAAUAGAAAAAGGGCCCACCAAAUCCCUAGCAUGGUGCCUGAAAAUAGACCCACACCACUGAACCGAGUUCAAAGGGAAUAUUGUAUACGUUUCCGGUGAAAAAGCUGUUUAAAAAAAAACCACAGGCCCAAAAUGGUGUCACUUAGGUUAAGGCCCCAAACCUGUAUACUAAGACUUAAUACCUAGCCUAACUGCAGUUUCGACUCCACAGAAAUGUAACCUUUAACCAGUCCACCUGGGAAUUUCCUGGUCAGCACUAGAAGUUUACUGAUAGACCCCUCCCCCUCUGCUCCCCUUAGGAGGGGGACCUUGCCUAAAACAAUGGAUCCUUUGCUAAUAAUUUUCUUUUAUCUGCUCCCUCUCUACUUUUAAAAACCUUUCCCUUCCUGUAGCCCCUUGGAGCUCUCCUCUACUUGCUAGUUGGAAUGCUGCCCAACUCAUGAAUCGAUUAAUAAAGCCAAUUAGAUCUUUAAAA